AAUUGUGUUUAUUUUGAUGGUAGCUCAAUGGAUAAGGCGCUAUCGCUUACUUCCGGUACACUUCCGGAAAAUUUGCACAAAACUAGCAUGUGAGCUUUGUUCCCUGUAAUGCUCUCAAGACUUCAAGCUAGAUUUAAUCAAAUUAAAGUAUGCUGUUCUAGCUCAAGUUGUGUCACAAAACUAAUUACGUUUUUGGGACUUUUCCGAGUUUCAGAGGUGCCCAAUAGAUGGCAAGAGUCCUCGUUUUUCAUGUAAUGGCGGAUUGUUGUGUUGUUAAAAGUUCCUAUUUUUCCACGAAAUUACUGAUUAAUUCAUAAGUAAAUUGAAGUUUAUUUCUGUGUAACUUGUUUGAUUUAUCAUCCUGUGUGUGUGCUUGAUGCUUUGAUCACAUUUGAAAUGGAACAAGAGGAAGGAACGCGAAAGGAAGCAUCACCCUUCAAGUAGCGAUCAACAACCCUUUCAUAAUCGACUUUCUGCUGAUUGCAUCAUCCAGUUAAUACAGGUCACUAACUCCAGUGUGGACUUGUAUUGUUUUUUUCCGAGCAUGUUUUUCUACAAAUGUUGCAUUGACAGACAAAGAAGGCUAUGGGAAGCAUGAGCAAGGCCAUGGGUAAUCUUCAGGUUUAUUGCAGCAACUUCGGAGAAGUCACAGGAAAAGAUGCAGCGCACAUACCAACACGUGUUGCAUUGUUCUGAUUGAUUUACUCAAGUAGUAGAUUUAACAACAUGAUUAACAUCCCAAAGUUAGUUAGAAUUCUAAAGACACUGAUAACUACUGCUGCUGCCGCCUUACAGCCAAAGAUAGAAAAAUUACUCUCCUUCUUCAGACAAUUGGAAAUCUGUUGGAGUGAUCUACAUCCUCGCUUGACUCUUUCAUCUUCUGGAUAGCUUGGGAAACCUGAUUGGUGUUAUCAAGCCAUUUUGAUAAUGACCGAAAGAAUGCAGCCUACAGACUGUGAACAUCAGACGACGGGAUCAGACUUCAGCAUCUCUACGAGCCACGACAACGUGCAGUAACAUCCUACAAGUUCUACGCGGAUCAUCUAUUGUUAUUGUUGGUAAUAUGUUUUGUUAGUUAACCCGUUGGCUGCCACGCCUUUGUUCUCCCCCAUGUUAGCUCCUUAGCACGGGCCGCACUGUUUGGUCUCUUGGUCUUAUGUGCCUUGGGAUCGAACAGCUGCACCUGCCCAAGAUUUGCCGAAAGGCCCCGUUAGGCAAUGCACCAUAGGGACUUCCCCCCUUGUCGAUACGGUGAUGGAUUCUAGAGGUUGUGCAUUCCAUCUUCUCCUGUCACCGUGUCAGCCCGGACUUGUCAGCAAUGGCAAGUCCC